rnacentral:ribozyme from 1 species
UGCCCAGCAACUCCUCUCCCUACCUCCUCGUUGUACUGGCCGGGGUACGAAGUAACCUUGGGGAAGAUCGGGUAACCAACCCCCUGUGGGAACUUUGGUCGUAUGCUGACAGGGAAGG